rnacentral:rRNA from 1 species
UACGGGGGGAGCAAGCGUUGUUCGGAUUUACUGGGCGUAAAGGGCGCGUAGGCGGUCGUGACAAGUCACUUGUGAAAUCUCCGGGCUUAACUCGGAACGGUCAAGUGAUACUGUCGGACUAGAGUACAGAAGGGGCAACUGGAAUUCUCGGUGUAGCGGUGAAAUGCGUAGAUAUCGAGAGGGACACCUGCGGCGAAGGCGGGUUGCUGGGCUGACACUGACGCUGAGGCGCGAAAGCUAGGGGAGCGAACGGG